rnacentral:rRNA from 1 species
ACGGGUGAGUAACGCGUGGGCAACUUGCCUCGGACUGGGGGAUAACACAGGGAAACUUGUGCUAAUACCGCAUAACAUGGUUGAAGGACAUCCUUCGAUCAUCAAAGGAGAAAUCCGGUUUGAGAUGGGCCCGCGUCCGAUUAGCUAGUUGGCGGUGUAAUGGACCACCAAGGCGACGAUCGGUAGCCGAACUGAGAGGUUGAUCGGCCACAUUGGGACUGAGACACGGCCCAGACUCCUACGGGAGGCAGCAGUGGGGAAUAUUGCACAAUGGGGGAAACCCUGAUGCAGCAACGCCGCGUGAAGGAUGAAGGUUUUCGGAUUGUAAACUUCUUUGAUUGGGGACGAAUAAAUGACGGUACCCAAAAAACAAGCCACGGCUAACUACGUGCCAGCAGCCGCGGUAAUACGUAGGUGGCAAGCGUUGUCCGGAGUUACUGGGUGUAAAGGGCGUGUAGGCGGGAAGAUAAGUCAGAUGUGAAAUUCCAUGGCUCAACUGUGGCGCUGCAUCUGAAACUAUUUUUCUUGAGUGCUGGAGAGGAAAGCGGAAUUCCUAGUGUAGCGGUGAAAUGCGUAGA